ACUCCUACGGGAGGCAGCAGUGGGGAAUAUUGGACAAUGGGCGAAAGCCUGAUCCAGCAAUGCCGCGUGUGUGAAGAAGGCCUUAGGGUUGUAAAGCACUUUCAGCAGGGAAGAAAAGCUUGGGGCUAAUACCCCGGCCCGUGCAUCGGUACCUGCAGAAGAAGCACCGGCUAACUCCGUGCCAGCAGCCGCGGUAAUACGGAGGGUGCAAGCGUUAAUCGGAAUUACUGGGCGUAAAGCGCGCGUAGGUGGUUCGGUAAGUCGGGUGUGAAAG
rnacentral:rRNA from 1 species